GCCUCUCUUGGUGUGGAGCUGUCACCAGGCUGUGACCCACCCUCUGACACCUGUCAGUCCUCACAGCCCAGCCCGCGGAGCUCAUGCAGAGUGCUGGAGUCUGUGAGCCUUGGGAAGGCAGGCUGGAGCUCUUUAUCUUCCUGUGUGGGGAGUGUGCCCUUAAAUACCUGGACCUGCCUGCAUCCGCUUUACAUAGACUGACUGAACGGCCAUUCACUAACACUGCGACCACACUCUCUC